rnacentral:rRNA from 1 species
UACGAAGGGGGCUAGCGUUGCUCGGAAUCACUGGGCGUAAAGGGUGCGUAGGCGGGUUUUUAAGUCAGGGGUGAAAUCUUGGAGCUUAACUCCGAAACUGCAUUCGAUACUGCCGUGCUUGAGGACUGGAGAGGAGACUGGAAUUUACGGUGUAGCGGUGAAAUGCGUAGAUAUCGUAAGGAAGACCAGUGGCGAAGGCGGGUCUCUGGACAGUUCCUGACGCUGAGGCACGAAGGUCAGGGGAGCAAACGGG